AGAGCGAACGCUGGCGGCAGGCCUAACACAUGCAAGUCGAGCGCCCCGCAAGGGGAGCGGCAGACGGGAGAGUAACACGUGGGAACGUACCCUUUGGUUCGGAACAACACAGGGAAACUUGUGCUAAUACCGGAUAAGCCCUUACGGGGAAAGAUUUAUUGCCAAAGGAUCGGCCCGCGUCUGAUUAGCUUGUUGGUGAGGUAACGGCUCACCAAGGCUACGAUCAGUAGCUGGUCUGAGAGGAUGAUCAGCCUCACUGGGACUGAGACACGGCCCAGACUCCUACGGGAGGCAGCAGUGGGGAAUAUGGACAAUGGCGCAAGCCUGAUCCAGCCAUGCCGCGUGGAUGAUGAAGGCCCUAGGGUUGUAAAGUCCUUUCGACGGGAAGAUAAUGACGGUACCCGUAGAAGAAGCCCCGGCUAACUUCGUGCCAGCAGCCGC
rnacentral:rRNA from 1 species